GGAAAUCUCAAAAGGAAAACUACAUUGCUGCGUCUGCAGGAUAAGGUUGGAGAAACUGUUCCGAAAUGGUUAUCACAAUGGGCUUCUCCACAAAAAGAAUGUCUGUUAAUCUCAGCGGGAAGUCCAUCCUCUAUCCCAGCGUAUCACAAUAGCACUCCAUGCUGAUGGUCACCUGACUCCAGUGUUCAAUUCAGAGCCAACGUCAAAAUGAGUAACAAUUGAAGAGAAACCAACCUAGAAUGAUUUGAAGAGUUGGUCUAGCUUUUGUGGGGAGAAUCAGGCACCUCAGAACUGGAGUCCAAAGCCAGCAUGUGCAGACAGCCAUUUAAAAUAGCUAUUUGGAAACAUGA